UAAUCGGUAGCUUAGUUGGUAAAGCACUCGUCUAGCAUACAAGAGUCCUGCGUUCAAAUCCCAGCCGAGCAC
rfam:Aedes aegypti strain Liverpool supercont1.50 genomic scaffold, whole genome shotgun sequence.